GAAUGUGGACGUCUUCCAUCUGUCCUUUUCCUAAGUGGGGCUCCCGUGCCAUUCACAUCGCAUUCCUGGUGUGUUGCUUGGCAGGCACUCCCACCGCUCAGAAAGGGAGGCCCUUCCUGGGACAGAGGCAAGAAGGUUCCCCAGCCCUUUGGCCCCCUUUCCUGGGCCUGCGUUCCCAGGGCCUCCCCAGCCCCUCUGGCUACCCCAUGACCUGGCCGCUGGGGAGGGGUUUCAUGCCUGGAUUUGGUCAUCAGCUUUCAGGCCCAAAGACACUGGAGCGGCUCCGAGGCGCCCCAGAAGGCUUCUCCAGAACUGACCUGCACCUGGCUGUGGUUCCAGUGCUGACAGCAUUAAUCUCUUACCAUAACUACCUGGACAAAACCAAACAGCGCGAGAUGGUCUACUGCCUGGAGCAGGGCCUCAUCCACCGCUGUGCCAGCCAGUGCGUCGUGGCCUUGUCCAUCUGCAGCGUGGAGAUGCCUGACAUCAUCAUCAAGGCGCUGCCCGUCCUGGUGGUGAAGCUCACACACAUCUCGGCCACAGCCAGCAUGGCCGUCCCACUGCUGGAGUUCCUGUCCAGUGAGUCCCCACCCUGCCUGCACAUGCACCCUUGAGGUUCGGGCUAUGUAACCUGUGCGGGCUUCUCUGGUGCCCUCUCUCAGAACUCCUUGGGGAACCUGGGUGUCUUGCCUUCUGCUGCCUCAGGGCCUGGGCGUCUCUGCCCGGCUGCCAUGAGUGCUCUCCCUCCUGGCCUUGAGGGGCGGCUCCUCUCACCCCUCUAGUGUCCAUAUGAAUGUCCCUCCUUGAAGAAGCCUCUUCCCCGCCGAGCAGUGGCCCUCCCC
rnacentral:sRNA from 1 species